rnacentral:rRNA from 1 species
UACGGGGGGUGCGAGCGUUGUCCGGAAUUACUGGGCGUAAAGCGCACGUAGGUGGUUUGUUAAGCCAGCUGUGAAAUCCCCGGGCUCAACCUGGGCACUGCAGUUGGAACUGGCAAGCUAGAGUAGGGUAGAGGGGUGUGGAAUUCCAGGUGUAGCGGUGAAAUGCGUAGAUAUCUGGAGGAACAUCAGUGGCGAAGGCGACACCCUGGACUCAUACUGACACUGAGGUGCGAAAGCGUGGGGAGCAAACAGG